AAACUUAAAGGAAUUGACGGAAAGGCACCACCAGGCGUGGAGCUUGCGGCUCAAUUUGACUCAACAAGGGAAAUCUCACCAGACCCGAACAUCCCUAACGAUUGACAGAUUGAAAGAUCUUUCUUAAUGAAGUGGAUGGUGGUGCAUGGCCGUUCUUAGUUGGUGGAGUGAUCUGUCUGGUUAAUUCCGAUAACGAACGAGACUCUCCCCUGCUAAAUAGUGACGCAAUUCUCGAAUUGUGACUCACUUCUUAGAGGGACUGUUGGUGUUUAACCAAAGUCAGGAAGGCAAUAACAGGUCUGUGAUGCCCUUAG
rnacentral:rRNA from 1 species